GCACUGCUGACGACUUCUAAACAGGACGAAACAGCUGUCCAGUGC
rnacentral:hammerhead_ribozyme from 1 species